UUUCUGCCGGAGAGACUGGCCCUCUUUCCAUCUCAAACGGUUGACUCCAUACAGCCUUUUCCUCCCUGACGUCAUUUUCAGUAUCUUUGACGUCAUUUCUCCCUUUCCAUAGGAAGUCCUAACUGACAGUAGGGACUCUACAUUGUUCACCUAGAAUGAAUUUGUUCAACAUUGUAAAGGCCUGUUCCCCACUCCCCCAGCAGCCCCACCACAAAUAGAUUUGCUAACCUUUAGAUGUUAUUCAUCUACAAUUCCUGACUGAGCUUUCUGUGACAUGUUCGCUGGUUUAUCAAGAGCAGUCCUGUAGAGGGGACUAAAGUGGCACAGAACUGUGAUAUACUGACAAGAGGUACAGGAGCAGGCCUUCCUAGAAGUGGA
rnacentral:lncRNA from 1 species